CCUACGGGGUGCAGCAGUGGGGAAUAUUGCACAAUGGGGGAAACCCUGAUCCAGCGACGCCGCGUGAGCGAAGAAGUAUUUCGGGAUGUAAAGCUCUAUCAGCAGGGGAGAAAAUGACGGUACCUGAGUAAGAAGCUCCAGCUAAAUACGUGCCAGCAUCCGCGGUAAUACGUGUGGAGCAAGCGUUAACCGGAUUUACUGGGCGUAAAGGGAGCGUAGGCGGGCUGCCAAGUCUGCUGUGAAAUACCGGGGCUCAACCCCGGGGCUGCAUUGGAAACUGGCAGGCUGGAGUGCCGGAGAGGCAGGCGGAAUUCCUGGUGUAGCGGUGAAAUGCGUAGAUAUUAGGAAGAACACCAGUGGCGAAGGCGGCAUGCUGGACGGUGACUGACGCUGAGGCUCGAAAGCGUGGGGAGCAAACAGGAUUAGAUACCCGAGUAGUC
rnacentral:rRNA from 1 species